GACCCCGUAGUUUAACGGAUAGAAUGGGGGCUUGCGGAGCCUUUGAUCUGGGUUCGAUUCCCAGCGGGGUCA
rnacentral:tRNA from 1 species